rnacentral:misc_RNA from 1 species
AACGCACAUUGCGCCCUUUGGUAUUCCGAAGGGCAUGCCUGUUCGAGCGUCAUUAUCACCCCUCGGGCCCCGUGCUCGGUGUUGGACGGCCGGUUCGGGCGACCGAACCCCUCCUAAAGACAAUGACGGCGGCCUGUGGUUCCCCCGGCACACUGAGCCUCUGGCACGUGUCGGACGAGGGCGCCCAGGACCCGGUCUUCUCCUCUCAGCAGGAAACUUCUCAAGGUUGACCUCGGAUCAGGUAGGAAUACGCGCUGAACUUAA